GGAACUGUGGCUCAGUGAUACAGCACCCGCCUCUCACGUGAGAGGUACUGGGUUCGAUCCUCAGCACCA
rnacentral:tRNA from 1 species